AUUGAACGCUGGCGGAAUGCUUUACACAUGCAAGUCGAACGGUAGAGGGGGCAACCCCUCGAGAGUGGCGAACGGGUGAGUAAUAUAUCGGAACGUGCCCAGUCGUGGGGGAUAACGUAGCGAAAGUUACGCUAAUACCGCAUACGAUCUAAGGAUGAAAGCGGGGGAUCGCAAGACCUCGCGCGAUUGGAGCGGCCUAUAUCAGAUUAGGUAGUUGGUGGGGUAAAGGCUCACCAAGCCAACGAUCUGUAGCUGGUCUGAGAGGACGACAAGCCACACUGGAACUGAGACACGGUCCAGACUCCUACGGGAGGCAGCAGUGGGGAAUUUUGGACAAUGGACGCAAGUCUGAUCCAGCCAUUCCGCAUGCAGGAUGAAGGCCCUCAGGUUGUAAACUGCUUUUGUACGGAACGAAAAGGUCUCUCUUAAUACGGGGGGCUCAUGACGGUACCGUAAGAAUAAGCACCGGCUAACUACGUGCCAGCCGCCGCGGUAA
rnacentral:rRNA from 1 species